rnacentral:sRNA from 17 species
GUCAACCACCCCACGGCUAAAGCCGGGGACUUACGAUGAGUAAGCCCGGGGUUGACCAGCCCGCACGAAGGCGACGGCCUUCGCGCAGCCGUUAUCCCGGUCAUGGCACCCUGGGGUGCGAGGCCAGCUCCAGGCCCUGCC